CAGUCGCCGCGGUAAUACGUAGGUGGCAAGCGUUAUCCGGAAUUAUUGGGCGUAAAGCGCGCGUAGGCGGUUUUUUAAGUCUGAUGUGAAAGCCCACGGCUCAACCGUGGAGGGUCAUUGGAAACUGGAAAACUUGAGUGCAGAAGAGGAAAGUGGAAUUCCAUGUGUAGCGGUGAAAUGCGCAGAGAUAUGGAGGAACACCAGUGGCGAAGGCGACUUUCUGGUCUGUAACUGACGCUGAUGUGCGAAAGCGUGGGGAUCAAACAGGAUUAGAUACCCCCGUAGUCCCUGUCUCUUAUAC
rnacentral:rRNA from 1 species